AAAUGAAUAGACGGGACCCCGCACAAGCGGUGGAUCAUGUUGUUUAAUUCGAAGAUACGCGAAAAACCUUACCAGGUCUUGACAUACUCUGCAAAGUACUAGAAAUAGCUACGGAGGUUAACAGAGAUACAGGUGGUGCACGGUUGUCGUCAGCUCGUGUCGUGAGAUGUUGGGUUAAGUCCCGCAACGAGCGCAACCCCUAUUGCUAGUUACCAUCAUUAAGUUGGGGACUCUAGCGAGACUGCCAGUGAUAAACUGGAGGAAGGUGGGGAUGACGUCAAAUCAUCAUGCCCCUUAUGACCUGGGCUACAAACGUGAUACAAUGGCUGAAACAAAGAGCAGCGAAGGGGUGACCUGGAGCAAAACUCAUAAAAGCAGUCUCAGUUCGGAUUGAAGUCUGCAACUCGACUUCAUGAAGCAGGAAUCGCUAGUAAUCGCGAAUCAGAACGUCGCGGUGAAUACGUUCUCGGGGUUUGUACACACCGCCCGU
rnacentral:rRNA from 1 species